rnacentral:rRNA from 1 species
CUACGGGGGGCACCAGUGAGGAAUAUUGCACAAUGGGGGGAACCCUGAUGCAGCAACGCCGCGUGGAGGAUGACGCAUUUCGGUGUGUAAACUCCUUUUAUAUGUCAAGAAAAUGACGGUAGCAUAUGAAUAAGCACCGGCUAACUCCGUGCCAGCAGCCGCGGUAAUACGGAGGGUGGAAGCGUUACUCGGAAUCACUGGCGUAAAGGACGCGUAGGCGGGUUGGAAAGUCAGGUGUGAAAUCCUACAGCUUAACUGUAGAACUGCACUUGAAACUUCUAAUCUAGAGUAUGGGAGGGGGAGAUGGAAUUAGUGGUGUAGGGGUAAAAUCCGUAGAUAUCACUAGGAAUACCUAAAGCGAAGGCGAUCUCCUGGAACAUUACUGACGCUAAGGCGUGAAAGCGUGGGGAGCAAACAGGAUUAGAUACCCCCGUAGUC